rnacentral:lncRNA from 1 species
GGGUGAACCGCGAGGGGUGUUUUGGGGGAGGACAAAAUUGAGGAAAACAGGCUCGAGAAGAACCACCGCCACCAGCACCGAUGCAGAUUCUGGUUCCCCUUUCUCCCAGGCCUUCUCUUCUUCCUUAGGUGGAUCAGUCUCAACUCUGUCCAUUCCUGUCUUCUUUGAAGUUGCUCCGGAGGUCUUUUGCACGUUGCAUGUUGAGCGGGUGAAGGAAAAGAAUCAAUGAAGAAUUUGGUUCUGGAGAACUCCAAAGGACCUGGAAAGUUUUUCCCUGGCUAGCUUUGUGUUUUUGAUCCCCCCCUUUCACAUUUCUGCUAUGCCUGUUGCAGGGAAUGUUAGUUUAUCCUACUUGCUCUUUCCCUGUUGGCUGGACGAUUUUGCUUUGCUCCUGAUCUGAAUGAAUAAGCAAGAGGCUCUGAAAAAUGUUGGGAAGUUUCAGGGCUCUUCAGGAGCUUUCGUCCCAGGCCUUCUACUGGCCCCGUCUGUGUGCAGGGAAAUUAAGGCACAGCCCAGUCAACAGCCCACUGACCCACUCACUGUAGCUUCUACAGUAGGUUUGAGAAGUGUCGGAUGUUAACCCAGCAAGUAACACCAAGCAGCUGUUAUGGGAACUUGUGGAUUCAGAAUGUCUAGGACAACAUGUUUUCCCUUUUAGAAACAAAUCAUAUGUAUACUUAUUUCUACAAGACAAUGGGAACGCUAAUGUUUAUCAGAGAGAUACACUGAGAUCAGAAAGGUGGUAGGAAGCUUAAUUCUAGCUAAGAUGCUGGAGCCACGGCUGCUUCUUCAUGUCUCAAAAGCAAAACGUCCCCUGCAUCAUCUCCAGAGAUGGACAAGGAAGAAAUAUGUGAAAUACGGAAAUCACAACAGCAUCUCUAAGAAUACCACUCCAUAGCAAUGGCUCCUUAUCUUGGGCCCCCAGAUGUUCUUGGGCUAAAACUCCCAGUUGCCUUCGACACUAGCAAUGCUGGCCAGGAUUUCUGGGAGUUAUAGUCCAAGAACAUCUGAAGACUCAAGAUUGGGAACCACUGGUCUAGACUGAAGGAAAGUCAGGAUAGGUGUCCUUUCCUCACCUACCAUAGUUCUAGUCCUGCUCCUGGUAAAGGCUAGUGUAGGGAUCUUCACAGAGGUCUAUCUCCCUCCU